GAAUUCUUAACUGGGAAAGCUUGAGAAAGGCUCAGGGCCAUCGUCUUAACUCCCACUAAGGCUGCCUUUUCAGAGCCAAUUUAGGUCACUGCUUCCAUUUGGGGCACAGAGACAGCUGGCUUUUACCACUCUUCCAGGCUCCCAAUUUCCAGACUCUCAGUCAACUUAGAUUGCAGGCAGCAGGGAGAGGAAUCUGCUGAAAGCAGCAAGGAGCAAUCAGUACUCACCAAUCCUCAAGUUCUCCUAGAGUUACAGGCUCAGAGAGCAUGUGAUAUUCCUGUCAAGGUAUCAAUCUCAGAAGACAGUUUUUACAAAAUCUUCUGCCAGAGCAUCACAAGGGUCACCAGCUUUCCAGUCUGCAUAUCUGUGUUUGCUCCGCCUGACUAUGAAGCCAAUGCCACAUAUCCUCUUGAUAUGCUCAUCACUUCAUGUACCUUCCUCCUUGCUCCUGGCUGAGGCCUCCCUGAUGUGGCUUUGGGAUGGACAGUGCCAGACUCACCUGGAACCAGAAACCAGAAGUGGUUGGGCCAGGGGUAGGGGUCUGUAUCCCUCUUCCCUCUGGCCCAGAAUGAAUCAACGCCCCCCCCCCCCCCCGCACACACACACACACCCUCUCGGGCUGUUGAUUUCUAUCAGAGGACCUGAGGGGGUCUGUGCCUCAUGCUGCUUGUCGACGGGCAGGCACGGAGUCUAAGUCCACCUAUGUUCUCCUCAGAGAACCUCACACUUUCAUCUCAGGGUCUUCUUUCCAUCCUCCAUCUCCUCCCUUUUUAGGGUAACGGUCUUUCUCCCACCCCUUCCUGUCCUUCUGGGGGACCCGAAUGAGGAAGUUCCACACCAAAUUUUCAGUCACUCCGGGCUGAGCACUUUCUGCACCUCACUUGAUACUGGACUCAGGGAGCAGUGGGGGAGGCAUUCAAGCUUCCUUGCUCCUCACCCAAGGCCAGGGUCCUCCCCUCCCCUGGCCCCAGGUGGGCCCCACCUGAUGCUGUGGGAGGCUCAGGCUGCAGCCUGAGUGCCCUCCAUGAAGCUAGCUGGAGGGGCCUGUCCCUGGGCACCUGGUCAAUAAUUAACACUGAGCAAACUCAGGCCGGCUGGGCCUCCCAGCAGGGUCAGGACCAGACAAAGGCUCUGCUGUCUCCUUAAGCUGCCAUCUUGGUGGGGGGUUACUGGCCGGCCAGUCACCCCAGGGUGGCAAACAACCCCGCCUCCAGCAGGGCGCUGGAGUGGCUGCUGCUCAGCGAGGAAUUUUCGGGGAGAUAGGCCCUGGAGGAGGCCGAUGAGUGGGGUUUGGCCACAUGCCUGUUUCUAAGCCUCGGCUUCAUGUUUGUGAGCAUAUUCUUCUGCAGCUGUUUGACAUGGGCUAAUGCGGGGUGGGUGACCUGCCUCUGAGAGCAGUUCUCAGCUCCUCCUGCUUCCUCCCCAUCCCCCACCUACCCUUCCUUCCUUCCUUAGCAAAUGUGUUGAGUGUCUUCUGUGUGCUAGGCCCUUCCUUAGUGUCCCCCCAUCUUUCCCCAUCCCCCUAAAACUUUCACUCCUUCUUGAUGUCUUUGCUUGAGCUUUUAAAAUCUUGAAACCCGUCUACCCUCUCCAUCUGAAUCUCCUUCCUCCUCCGAGAAAUCCUCCUUGAGUCCAUCCUGAUCACAUCCUCCUGGUUCCUCCGACGCUGACACUCCUGUCACUUUUUAUCUCAUCCUGCCCUUGUGCUGCCUCCCCAGCUGCACCGUAAGCUCCUUGGAGGCUGGGAGCCAUGACUUCCCUCCUCCCCCCCACCAUGGGCAAUAAGGAACGUUGUUAGGUUUAUCAGCAAAUGCCACCCUCAGCCACAAAUCAAGCAAGAAGUUACUUUCUUGCAGAACAACAACUCAGGAGACAACUUCUACAUCAGUCAGAAAAUUCCAGAUACAUGGCAGAGUUCCCAAAUCGGCCUUGCCAGCCCAGACCUCCCUCCAGCUGGCUGCCCUAGAUGUCUGAGAACUCUUUAUCACAUCCCCUGCCUCCCCUACUCCCAGCUCAGCCAUUUUGGGAGCAGCUGAGGACGUUUCUGGCUGACCUUUCUGGCUGCCCACCUGAUCCAGCCUUAAGCGCAGCCCGCACCGCCUCCUGGCCCUUUCCUCCCUGUGGGGUCCCACGCUCACUGCUGGGAGCCAUGGGCAUCCUUUCCUGAGCAGAGACAGAGCAGCUGCCAGGGACUUCCUCUUCUUGCCUGGCUCUUCUUACCCUCCUUUCUCGGAUAUCCUCUCAUUUCUCCCCUCUGUUCACACUCCCUCCCUCCCAGCCUGCUCAGCACUAACCCACCUGUCCCUGCCCAGGUGCACUUUGAAAGAAGAGUUCACAUGUAACACACAGACUUGUGCUGCCUCUGCUACACUGACCCCCUAAAAGUUCAAGGUGAACCAGAAGUGAUUAGAGACAGGGCACCCCACCCUUAGGAAGACCGAGGGUGACAAUUUUUUUUUUAAGGCUGAAACAGAACCAGAUAUAGGGACCCACAGCACCCCCACUCUCCCCCAGUUGAGGAAAGGAAAUGAGUGACAGCUUGGGGACUGGCGGUGUGCAAGGUGGCGGUGUGCAGGGGAGGGGGCACCUCUUGCUACCAGGGCGUCCGUCUUGAAAGUCUGCCGCUCUGUUGUCUCACGGUGUUCUCACUCUUAUCAAACCAACCACACCAACUUAGAGUCUAAACACCAUGGCAGCUAUCCUUAAGGAAUCCAGGAUCGGGGGAGUUGCAGGCUGGGCGGCUGUGGGUCCCAGGGGUGCAGAUGGCUUCUGGGGGCCAGCCAACACACACACCUGUUCACCCUGCUCUUCUCCCUGGAGGCCCUUGUGCCCCUAAGACCCCACCCUGGGGACUCUGGGGUCCCUUUGGAGGUUUCCCUGGAGGACUCCUUUUUCCCUCCUCUGCUCCUUCAGAGGGUCCUUCUGCCAUGGGUAUCCUUGCUGCCACAUCCCACUGUCCUCCUGGGUCCACCCCAACUCUAUGCACCGCCUAGGCCGGCUCUGCCAUCCCCGGCGCCAGCUGGCACGGGUCUGUCCCCCUGAUGUGGGGGAGGAGACACCCACCCUUUGUGAGAGGGCACUGCCCUGCCCCAAGGACAGGAAAGGAAGAAGUGGGGAGAGAAGGGGCUCCUCAGCUUUUCCUCCUUGACCGAAGGCCUAAGAUGAGGAGAUACAAGGCAAGUUCACCAGCGAGCGGUGUCUCACCGUACUGAAGCUGUUGUAAUUUAUUUUGUCAUUCAUCACACAAGGCAGACGCGAUCUCCUCCCUGCCCCUCCUGCCACUAGCAAUUGCUCCUGGCACCCUCCUGGUGACCCCCUCCCCUAGCUGGGGACAUUGAGCCCCUCCUGAGAGCAUAAGAUGUGGGCAAGCCCCUGGGAGCUGCUCAGGGAAGACCCCCACGGGGACAUUCCCAUUGCCAAACGCACGCCCCCUGGACUGGGCCUGGAGUUCCUUCUGCUGUGAUGAUGCCACAGAGUGAACCAGCUCCCCAGACCCUCGCCCUGGACCGCUGCUGAAAGCAGGAAUGGAGGGGUGGAGGAGGACAGCCAGCCCAGCAGGGACAGAGGGGAGAGGCAGGAAGAGCUGGGGACGAGGCCAGCCAGUGGGGAGGAGUGAAUGGAGCAGGAAGGCACAGGUGAGAAGCAGGCCUUCUGGGAGGCAGGACUGGGGUGCCCCCGGAACAGCUCCUCUCCUACUCCCAGGCAGGGUUUCCAGGCAGCUCACUCAGGCGCCUCAACGCCAAUCCCAGCACGAUGGUGCCACCUGCUGUGGGGAGGGAGCAGCACAGCUUGCUCCUUAGAGGGGUUUGAGAAUUUGGGGUAACUCCGAUCUCUGGGAUCAUAGCCUCUGUUCUGGUUUAUAGGACAUAGACUUCAGUAUGGGGUCAUCUCUCACUCUGGGCAGCCAGUGUUCUAGACAGCCAGAUUCUCUCUUUCUGUCCACUUUUCAGGUCCCUACACUCAAGCCUACCAGAGGGGUGUGGAACCCUGCCCAGGUCUCUCAUCUUUGGCUGGACCUCUCCCAGCUCACUGCCCCCAGCCCAGCACCUCCUUUCCUCAGGUUGCCCUAUGGCGACAACCCCCAAGUGGCCUCCCUACCCCUGCCAGGUCUGCACCACCACUUCCCAACUCACAGGCCUACAUCAGGUCCUCCCCACCUUCCAGAAAGCCCCUCGUUCUGUGCUUGGUUUUCCCAUCUGCAAAAGGGGCGAAGGAGAGGCCCGCCUCCCAGUGUGUUCGGAAGAUCGCGAGAGAUGGCACAGCCAGGACACUGAGCAGGGCGCCCAGCGCCCUCGGUAAACAGGCAUCACUUUGAUGACCUCUUGCGGCAUCUUGCCUCCCUGUCCCCUCCUGUAGGCUUGGCAGGGACCAGGGCAGGUGCUGAGAUGGUCUCUCUGAAGCCUCCCCAACCCUAGCCGGAGUGCAUCAGCCCGCCUAAGAGAAGACUUGGGGACAUGUGAUAACGUGUCCCAGAGAAGGCUCGGAGCCUCUGUCUGUCCCCAGAAGCCCCAGUGGGCUGCAGAUAGAGGCAUGGGCCAGCUUUUGCCCGAAACCUGGCCCAGCUAUUUUUCUGACCCCUUCACAGUUCUGUCUCAGGCAUUGGUGGCAGGGCCAGCUUCAUGAGUUUGCAACCUGUGCAGUCACUCAGGGCCCCAUGAUCUUAAGGGCUCAACACCUGCUUUAAUGCUCUGAUGUCACCAUUUUGCAAUCCUUAAUAAUUUUGGAAAAUGGGGCACCCGCAUUUUCAUUUUGCCCUCAGUCCCACAAAUUAUAUAGCCCGUAGUGAUGGUGGGAAAGGUAGAGUGAGCUGGCUGGGCUCUUCCCUAGAAAAGCUGGUGCCAUCGCCCACCUCUUCACUUCCAUACAUACUCGUCUGCCACCUCCAUUGUCCCCUGUUUAUCCCCACAGCAGAGCAUCCAGAAGGGCUGGGGUCACACGUGGAGCCCUCACCGCCAGGAGGCACCAACAGAAUCUGGCAGCCUGCUUGGCUUGGAAACCCCCUUGGGGACAACUCCCACUCACAGGGCCUGCUGGCCAGGCCACCCGAAUUCCCAUCCUCUGACAGUCCUCUCUAGUCGCCUCCGCCCGACUCCACAGCUCAAGUGUGAAACCACAGCUGGGCGCCAGCCAAGGGGGCUUGGGUUUCACCACAUUCAACUUCCCACACCUCCACCCGAGGCCAGGGUCCCAUGGGGCCAUGGGCCAAAGGCCUGGGAUGGAAGGCAGAGUAGGAGGUGGGUUCCAGUCCCCCUUAGCUUCCUCUGUAUCUCAAAGUACCCUCUCUCUUGGGCCUUAAUUUCCCCUCUACAUAAUGGGACAGGAUUCAGCAGGGAUGGAGCAGAUGCUAAGGGUGCAGGGAAGAUAGGGCUCAGAGACCAAGGCCUUGAAGAAAGCUCUAGAACUUCACUGUCCAAUAAAAUAGCGAAGAGCCACGUGUGGCUAUUUAAAUUAAUUUCAAUGAAAUAAAAUUAAAAUUUUAGUUCCUCAGUCAGUCCAGCCACAUUUCAAGUGCUCAGUAGUGACAUGUGGCUUGUGGCUGCCAUAUUGGGCAGCACAGAUAUAGAACAUUUUCAUCGAC
ensembl:lncRNA